AGAUAAAUAAUAUAGGAAAGAAAAUAUUAUACAAUCAUAGGAUUAGCAAAUGUAAUAAUCUAAUUUUAAUAUUAUUAUUUAUUUUCCACCUAUUUAAAAUAGACUGUAAGUCAGGCGUUGCAUGUUGACGCAUUGAUACGCGGCGCCCGUAUAAAAUAUUAAUAUUAUUACAUAUUUAUAUCAGUUUUUAUAACGGCAAAAACUUAAUACACAAGUUUUUGAAAAUACAAAAGUAUUUCAUAAAUUAAAAAUUUUUAAAAACUAAAAAGCCAAAAAGGAAUGUUUCAUAAAUUCUUUGAUGUGGCUCUUAUUUAAAUAAUGUAUUAUGACUUUAUUAUACCGUACAUAUUUUUAGUGGGGAUGCUGGCGAGGGGGCUAGAGCCCCACCUUGCCACCCCUUGGCGCCGUGCGUGUCAACAUCGUGUUCUAAUAAAGCAAAAAUAUUAUUCAAAAUUAUCAUCAUCAUCAUCAUCAUCAUCCAUGACUUCAGCCGUCAAUAGCAGUAAUGAGCAAACUUUCAGUGAGCAGUUAUAGAAAUAAAUGAUUGGAAAUUAUAGAAUCUGGCAGCUGGAAAUCCGGAACUGUUGCUUGGAAAAACAUGGUCGAAUUAACAAAAGACUUAGAAGGUGCUGACGUGGAAU